UUAUGGCCAUAUGAUGCUGUAAACAUUGGUUCCCCUACAAUCACCAAACUUAAGCAACAGCAAGCCUGGUCAGUACCUAGAUGGGUGAUCACUUGGGAAUACCAGGUACUGCAAG